UGGAUGGAUGGGGAUGAAAAUCUAGACCAACACCCACCCAUGGAUGGAUGGGGAUGGGGCGACGACGGCGGAGGCAGCGGCCUUCUCUCGGUGCUUGCUGAUGUGGUGGACAUCGACGUCGGUGAAGGGUUGCAGCACGCAGACAUCAAAGGCUGCGGGUGUGACGGAGGAGCACCAUGGCGGGCGUGCAGGCCAUGGCUCGCUAUGGAAGGCCCUUCCCUUCCCUCUCUCUAUUCGGGCCAUGCUCAGGCAGUCUUUUCUCUUCUCUUCCC